UGGCACCCANACCCUGUGCUUACUAAAGAACC
rnacentral:piRNA from 1 species